rnacentral:lncRNA from 1 species
GGGUGUACUGAAUCACUAUAAAAUUUGAUCAUAUUUAUGGUUUACUUGAUUUCUUUGUUGCUUUCUAUUUAUAUUUUAUUUUUAGUUUAAUUUAUUGUAUCAUUUUUGCUCACUCACUUCACUAUUUUUUAAAACAGCAUAUACUUGCUCAAUUUUUAAAAAAUCUAAUUCACCUUCCUCUUGGGUUGUCUAGUUGGGUAAUAAGUGAUAUCAGAAUUUUGGUACUCGACUGCAUUUGAUCCAAUGAUCAAAAGUUAAGAUCAAAUGACAAUCCAAAUGAGUACUUCUCUUGCUGAAGGGCAAUCGAUCAAUUAUCCAUCUUUGUUCAAUGGAACAAACUAUACCUAUUAGAAAAUAUGCAUAUAUAUUUAUAUUCAAGAACUAGAUUAAAGGAUGACUCUUCUCAAAAUAAUGAAGAAGAUCAAAAGGAGGAUGAAGAGGAAAAA